rnacentral:rRNA from 1 species
GAUGAACGCUGGCGGCGUGCCUAAUACAUGCAAGUCGAGCGAAUGGAUCAAGAGCUUGCUCUUAUGAAGUUAGCGGCGGACGGGUGAGUAACACGUGGGUAACCUGCCCAUAAGACUGGGAUAACUCCGGGAAACCGGGGCUAAUACCGGAUAACAUUUUGAACCGCAUGGUUCGACAUUGAAAGGCGGCUUCGGCUGUCACUUAUGGCUGGACCCGCGUCGCAUUAGCUAGUUGGUGAGGUAACGGCUCACCAAGGAAACGAUGCGUAGCCGACCUGAGAGGGUGAUCGGCCACACUGGGACUGAGACACGGCCCAGACUCCUACGGGAGGCAGCAGUAGGGAAUCUUCCGCAAUGGACGAAAGUCUGACGGAGCAACGCCGCGUGAGUGAUGAAGGCUUUCGGGUCGUAAAACUCUGUUGUUAGGGAAGAACAAGUGCUAGUUGAAUAAGCUGACACCUUGACGGUACCUAACCAGAAAGCCACGGCUAACUACGCGCCAGCCGCCGCCGUAA